rnacentral:rRNA from 1 species
ACCCGUUGAUCCUGCGGGAGAUUGCUGCUAUUAGGACUCGACUUAGCCAUGCAAGUCCAGGGGGUCUUCGGACCACCGGCAAAAUGCUCAGUAACACGUCGAUAACCUUCCCUUAGGUCAGGGAUAACCACGGGAAACUGUGGCUAAAAUCUGAUAAAGAAUUAUUUCUGGAACGAAUUAUUCUUCAAAAGCAAUGCCUAAGGAUGGGUUGGCGGCUGAUUAGGUUGUUGGUAGGGUAAUGGCCUACCAAGCCAAUGAUCAGUAGGGGCCUUGAAAGAGGGAGCCCCGAGAAGGGCACUGAGAUACUGGCCCUAGCCCUACGGGGUGCAGCAGGCGCGAAACCUUUACAAUGCACGAAAGUGUGAUAAGGGAAUCCUAAGUGCUAAUACUUAGUAUUAGCUUUUGCCAAAUGUAAAUAGUUUGGCGAAUAAGUGGUGGGAAAGACUGGUGCCAGCAGCCGCGGUAACACCAGCGCCACAAGUGGUGAUCAGCAUUAUUGGGCCUAAAGCGUCCGUAGCCGGUUUAGUUAAUCUUGUGUGAAAUAGUUGCGCUCAACGUAAUAAAAUGCACGAGACACUGCUAGACUAGGAACCGGGAGGAGUAAGAAGUAUUCUUGGGGGAGCGGUAAAAUGUUAUAAUCCCAAGAGGACUACCUGUGGCGGAGGCGUCUUACUAGGACGGAUUCGACGGUGAGGGACGAAAGCUAGGGGAGCGAACCGGAUUAGAUACCCGAGUAGUCCUAGCUGUAAACGCUGCGAGCUAGGCGUUGCAUGAUCUAUAUGGUUGUGCAGUGUCGGAGCGAAGGUGUUAAGCUCGCCGCCUGGGAAGUAUGGUCGCAAGACUGAAACUUAAAGGAAUUGGCGGGGGAGCACCACAAGGGGUGCGGCGUGCGGUUUAAUCUAACUCUACGCAGAGAACCUCACUAUAGGCGACGGCAGGAUGAAAGUCAGGCUAAAGACCUUACUUAACAAGCCGAGAGGAGGUGCAUGGCCGCCGUCAGCUCGUGCCGUAAGGUGUCCUGUUAAGUCAGGUAACGAGCGAGACCUGCGCCUGCAAUUGCCAGCAGCUUUUUCGGAAGGACUGGGCACAAUGCAGGGACUGCCUUGGAAACAAGGAGGAAGGUGCAGGCUACGGUAGGUCUGUAUGCCCCGAAUCCUAUAGGCUACACGCGCGCAACAAUGGUACAGACAAUGGGAUGCAACUCCGAAAGGAGAAGCUAAACCUCUAAACUCUAUCCAAGUCCAGAUUGAAGAUUGCAACUCAUCUUCAUGACGAUGGAAUCCCUAGUAAUCGGUUGUUAUCAUCGACCGGUGAAUAUGUCCCUGCUCCUUGCACACACCGCCCGUCAAACCACUCGAGCAGUGUUUAGGUGAGUGUUGGUUUUUUUUGAUCAAUCCAAACCUAAACUCAGUGAGAUGGGUUAAGUCGUCACAAGGUA